ACUUUCUGUCCCGCUGUUUUAUGGGGAAGGCGGGGGAAGACACGCAGACAUCAAUUCGACUAAACAAAGUUUAUCAAUAAUAUUAAAAAUAAAAAGUAAAGCCCCUUUCUGAACAUUAUGGCUUAUUCCUUGAUUAUCCUUCUUAAUGCCACAGCGUGGCUAUCUCAGAACAAAAUUAGAGACUAACAGUAAAUUUACUUUAAUUUUUACGAAUAAUUCUCUAUCAAUGUAAAAAUUUUUCAUAUACGCGUGUAUGAAAGAAAAACACUACUAUUUUUCCACAUUCGUGAAAACUGCUUAACUGGGACAGUAACCGAGCGGCCAGUGAAUAUUUAAAAUACUGUAACCGACGAAUACGUAUGCUUCUAGGACCACGUGGAAUCUUUCCCAUGAGACAGGAUUUCACCAUGUUGCCCAGGCUGGUCUCAAAACUUCUGAAUUCAAGCAGUCCGCCCGCCUCUGCCUCCCAAACUGUUGAGAUUACAGGCGUGAGCCACCGCACCCAGCCUCAAGAAUGUCUUAAAUAAUGUAUGUACUAUUUUAUCAGUUUACACCCUCACUAGCAUUGAUGAGUUCUCUUUGUUCCACAUUCUCUCCAACACAAGAUAUGGUCAGACUCUUACCAUUUUUACCGCUGUGAAAAUUGCAAUUUACAUUUCCCUAACAAAGUGGUGCAUUCUUCCAUACUUAUGAAACCUUAUUUCCUCUUCUGUGAACUGUCCACUCUUACCUUUUAUAAAGUUUGCUAUGGAGUUUUCUUUCACAAA
rnacentral:lncRNA from 1 species